rnacentral:rRNA from 1 species
CAGUCGCCGCGGGAAUACAGAAGGUGCGAGCGUUAAUCGGAUUUACUGGGCGUAAAGCGUGCGUAGGCGGCUUCUUAAGUCGGAUGUGAAAUCCCUGAGCUUAACUUAGGAAUUGCAUUCGAUACUGGGAAGCUAGAGUAUGGGAGAGGAUGGUAGAAUUCCAGGUGUAGCGGUGAAAUGCGUAGAGAUCUGGAGGAAUACCGAUGGCGAAGGCAGCCAUCUGGCCUAAUACUGACGCUGAGGUACGAAAGCAUGGGGAGCAAACAGGAUUAGAUACCCCUGUAGUCCCUGUCUCUUAUAC